UGCAAGUGAAGGGGAGCCAGGGGAGAGCCACAUGACAGUGAGGUUGCCAGUUGACACCUUUGUGAUGUCAGCAGCCCGGGGGACUGCCCGGCUGAGGGAGAGGCACACCUCCUCUGGGCGCUGUGGGUCUGUGUGUGUCCGGACUGGGAGAUCCCGAGUGCCUCCCGGUACGAGUUCCCACUCACCACUCCCCGGAGGAUGACGGGAGCUUGGAGGCAGGGUCCGAGCCUGCGGCCUCAGCACAGGAUGCGCACCUGUGGGAGAGGUCACCCAGAAGAGACCAAGACGGAGCGUCUCAGGAGUGAGAAUUGUAUUUCUGGGGAAAUGGGAUUUUAUUCCUUAAAAYGUUCACAUGUAACUUGGCGGGUUGGUGCAGCUGGGGCCUGGUAAGAGGCGGAUGCAGCUCGGUGAGGAGAAGGCGCCCCGUGGUUGCUGGUCCUGCAGCUCCUGAAUCCCUCCUGUUGAAGAAAUGAAGUUAACAAUGUCACUUUGGCAGUUAGUACGCUUUGUGAUGCCGUA
rnacentral:lncRNA from 1 species